rnacentral:tRNA from 1 species
GGUACCGUGGUCGAGGGGAUAGACGUUGCUCUGCAAAAGCAACUACGGCGGUUCGAGUCCGCCCGGUAUCU